UUGUUCCCUUGAGACAGUCACUGCUAUUGUUGCCAAUACAUACUUUAAUUUCUCAUCAUUUAUCAAAAAUUGAGUACUCAUUGGGAUUGAGGCAGAGAUUUUGGUGUUUGCUCAUUCAGCCCAGCAUAUGCUCAAUAUGCUGAGUUAUAACAAGCAUUGAGAGUGGCAGCAACGAAGGCAAUGCCCGGAUAAGCAAUGACAUUCCCAUUUUAGUGUCUUUCCAGACCAGUUUGUUUGCUUCUAUUGCUGGCACAAGCUUCUGCAACUUCCAACUGUAACCAAAAUUACAUAUCAUGUUAAUCUUCAGGCAUAUAACAAUAUACCAAUCAUUUACUGUACUUGAAACUAAUCUUGAAAUGAUUCUGCAAGAAAUUUUAAUAAGAAGUCAUUGAAACCAAUAUGAUUUGUAGACAUAAAAUUCUAAAAGAAUUAACAGAUCUGUACUGUUCAAGCAUAAGCCGCCGCAAUUUAAAAUUAACAUCCAAUUAAAAUCAAAGUUAUAUAUCUUGGUUCGUACAGAAGUGACCAAGUAUUAAUACUUGAAACCUUUCUUGAAAUAGUCCUGCAGGGAAUGUUUUACCAGCAGUCUGAAAUAAAUAUGUUUCAUAGACGAUAGUAAUGCCAAACAUCUGUUCAUUACCAUGAUGAAAUUAAUAAACAAAAUUCUCCAGCUUUUAGUGAACAUUCCAAUACAAUAGUUACAACUAAAGUUUAUUUCCCUUUACUUAAACUUCCGGUGAAUGACCAAAAAUACAUAUGAAGAACAAAUGAAUAUAUAAGCAUUUAGAAAAACAAAUUAAACCAUUGAAAUCAGCUACAAUAACUUCUCAUCUUGAUUUUUCUUUUAAAAUGAUGGCAGACAUUGAAUCUAUAUAUAUCGAACCUGGAGAGAAUUAUCUGAAAGUUCCAAUAACUUGAAAUUAAACCAUUUUUCUCCAUGAUGGAAGAAAGAAGUUUCUCAAUUCUGCAAAAACAUAUACUCUUUUCUAAGAAUAUGAGCUUUGGAAAUGCUUGUCCAAAAUUUAGCAAGCAAGAGUCUAUUAAUAAUUAUGCUUAAAUUGAAUCCUUGGUUUUGUUCACUUCAAUUUAGAUGAAACAAAAAAUGAGAAACGUUUAACUAGCUCAUCUGAUCUAAGCAUUUAAAGCAAAUCUGAAUAUUUCUAUUCCUUCUCUGCCAUUGGUCUCGUGAUUCCUCAACAUUGGCUAAGCCAAACAUUCAACAAAAAAGUAUGGCAGAGAAACUGAAAUAUGCAAAAUAAUAGUGGGAAAAAGGUUGAAAACUUGGGUUUUGGUUAUUCUUCAUAUAAAUCUCAAUGCUGAGAUAGUAGAGAUCUCAGUGUGUGUAUAGAUUUCACCUUUUGUCCAUCAUCUCAUGGUUGUACAUAUCUACCAUUGUGAACAUAAAAUUUCAAAUUGAUUAUCCUGAAUGUAAUUAGAUAUUUCCAAAUUGACAUACUUUGGUCUAAUCAUAAUCAACAUUCUCUUCCUAAGAGAUGAAGCCUCUUCCUAUUUUCUCCUUUAAAUCACACUAGAGAAUAUGCAAUCUCCUCAAAUGGCGGCGAUUUUGGACCAUUCUCAUCUUUAUACUUUUUGAACUGUUGAGUUUGUCAAAUAAUCAAGGACAAUAUUAGCAUUCAUUCAGGAUGAUGGCAUAAUUAUUGGACAAACAAAUAGUACUAUUAAGGAGGUAUCAAGGACAAAAUAAUUAACAGAAAAUUCGAUAGAUAAACCCUGUUUUUCUACAGCGAAGAAGCACAAAGAGAAGUUAAAUACCUGGAGGCAUAUUUUUCCCGCCAACGUACUACAUUCAAAUUAAAGUUUUCAUUUUCAGAGUUGGGAUGCUUUGGGCGAAGAAGUAGUUCCCCUGAUCUGCAAAUUAAUCAAUGUAGCUUCUGGGUGACACUGUUUAGAUCAUGUACGGUAGUGCCAGAAGUUGAGGAUACACUAGGAUAGCAAAUGUUUCAACUAUUGUCAAGGAAGCUCCUAUAUUAGCUCAAUGCAAUUUGCUAGUCAAUUUGUCAAGACAUUGUCUCUCCAGAUAGCUGCAAUACAACUUCUUUUCUGUUCUUCUAAACCUAUUUGAUUCAAGAUUUUUGUCAAUCCUAUCAAGAAAGUAAGAAACACAAAUGAAUAGAUGAACAAUAAGGUGAAAAAUACAACUAAGAGCUAGCUUAACUUAAGAAUACAAACUAGUCUAAGAGAAUAAGUCCUUACAUAGUGUCCUUAAACUAGCAAAGUAUUCAAUAAUGCCAUUACACCAGAUAAGGAUUCCUUCUCUCUUUGAAAUUUUUUGUUUUUCUUGUAAAAUUUUUUGUCUUUCUUUCAUUUUCAGCCUUUCAUUCUUUUCCAUCUUGCUAGAGCAUGCAGUGGGCUUCAAAAGGAAAGCAUACUGAAAUUCGAAAAAAAAAAGGGUGGGGGGGAGUGGAAUUAUGUAUAUACCUGAUCUAUUUGAAUUUACGUGAUGUACUGCUACCAUAAGCAUUGUCACAGAUCACACAUCCUCAAUGGCAGUCUGCCUGCAAAAUGAAGAAAAUGAGAUCAGUAUCACUAUAUUUUUCCCUUUUUCUCUAAGUUCAGCAGCUUAUUGUAGGUUGGGUGCUCGACCUCAAUUCCAGAACAAAGCUCAAAACUUGGUUCAAGUUUUAUCAACUUUCAUUUAUGUAAACUCAAACUUGACUUGAAAAAGUAAUUAAGCUACUCAAACUCAAUUCUCUUUAAUUAGAUUUGUAAACGGUAUUGAACUAACGAACCUACAGUAAUCAUGAAAAUAGAGCACUUGAACACUUGACUUAAUGUAUGUUCUACAAAUAGAAAGAAGAUUUAUGAAAAUUAAUAUAAAAUUUCAAGUGACAUAAAGAUACCUGAUUUCUGGGCGAACCUCCGUUUACGAACACAAACCAUUUCAAAUUUGAUUUUUCUCACCAUAUGUCAAUGUGAGGUACGUGGGCAACAUUGGGCCACUCAUCCUCCUCGCAUCGUUGUUUUAGCAAUGGAGAAUCAUAAAUUUGUAGUGUCAAAAGUGAGGGAAGCAUUUCCUUACUCGGAAGGAAUUUGAGCUUGGGGCAAUGUGCGAUGCGCAAUGAUUCGAGAGAGGUGAGAUUUUGAAAGCCCUUGGAGGACAAAAUUUCAAGGUUGGGAAAAUGUUUGAUGGAGAAAGAGGUGAGAGAGGGGGGCAGAAGCAUUUCUUCAUGAGGGAAUGACGCCACAUCUAGUGAAGCACCGUGGAUGCAGAAAUGCUUAAGAGAGGUGAGUUUGUGCAAACCCCACUCGAUUACUGACUUGCAGAAAUUGGGCUGCGAGAUUUCAAGUGAAAUGAGAUUGGUAGGGAACCCCUCUUCUGGAAAAGAUACCACACUUGGACAAUCAUAUAUCACGAAUUCUGCAAGAGAGACAAUGUUGUGCAUGUGGUUGGGUAAGGCCUCGAGCUUUUCACAUCUCAUAAGAUAGAACUCUCUGAGUUUGGGGGUUAACAAUCCACUUCCUGGGAAAGAAAUCAGAUUUGGACAACCACAAAUACAGACCUCCUCAAGAUGGUUGAGAUUGUCGAAUCCACGAGGUAAAGAUCUAAAAUUUUCACAAAAGUAGAUAUCAAUCUGUUUAAGAGAAGAGUUGUCUUCAAUUUCAGGUGCUAUGGAUUCUAGAGAUGGGCAAGCUUCGAUACGGAGGUAUUUCAGCCCCUUAGGUAACUUGCCAUUGGAUAAUAAGGAAGCUAACUUUUUUUCACAAUUAUAGAUGCUUACACGUUGAAGAUCAACAGGUAAGUCGCCCCUUGCGGAUAAAGAUAUCAAAGACUGACAAAAUCCAAUAAGCAAUUGCUCUAUGCUGAUAUUUUCUCUUUCAUCCAGCAAGUACUGCAAAUUCUCACAAUCAACAAUGGAUAAACUUAUAAACUUUAACGGUAACUCGCACCUUACGGAUAAAGAUAUGAAAGACUUACAAUGUCCAAUUUCCAAUUUCUCUAGAAAAAAUGUACCGUUGAUACUGACAUUUUCUCUUUCAUCCAGCAAGUACUGCAAAUUUUCGCAACAUCUAAUGGUUAAACUUCUUAAAUUUGCAGGCAAAUUUCCCUUUGAAAAUGAAAUCAAUCUUGGGCAUCUUUCAAUUUGUAGCACCGUAAGGGAUGUGUAGCUGUGUAGGCUUUUUGAUAGCCUCUCUAGCCUUUCACAAUCUCCUAUACCCAAAUCUUCUUGGUUCAGCCAUGAAGAAAUUAGCUCAUCACAGUUCCCUAUAGAAAGAGAUUCUGCUUUUCUCAACCCUAACAUCAUAUCCAUUGGACAAGUGAAUUUCGAAAUUUUUGACAGGGAGACACUUUUCAUGAGUGAGCCAAAAUUUGUAAAACUCGUACCCACCACCUCUUGGCAUUCUUCAAUUUUUAACUUGCACAACUUUGUAAGGCUAGAGAGUGAAACUACCAGUUGCUCACAUUCACGAACCUCAAGUUUCUUCAAUGAAGGAGGACAAGUAGCUAGACUUCUCAGUUUUUGACAUCGAAGAAUCACAAGUUCCUCCAAAGAACGAAGACGAGUAGGUAAACUUCCUAACAACUUGGGACAAUCUGAAAUGGAGAGCAAGCGGAGUUGUUGGAACACAUCUCCGUCAACUUCACAAGGAUCCCAUUCCUGCCAUUCAGGCAUGUUAUAAAAAAAUAAUUCCUCUAAUUUUGGAAAUGCAAUUGACGCAUUUUCUCCAAAAAAGUUAGAACCCACAACAGUCACCUUAUUCAUGUUCUUGAUAAAAAGGGAUUUUAGCAGUGGUACUUUUCCAAUUGCUGGUAAUGAUGUGCAAUUUGGACAAUUAUCCAACUCCAAAUGUGAUAGCUUUUCAAAUGAAGGAUCUCCUAUCCAAUUUGGGAAUGCUUUACCUCCGUAAUGUUGGAUGGUGAGCCUUUCAAGCAUUGCAUGUGGUCGGAGUGAAUUCAACACGUCCAUGUGAAAUUGAAUUUCUUCUACUGCAAAAGCGUCACGGGAGUACUUCCAUUCCAAAGUUAAAUCAGAAAGGUUUGACUUAUUACAUAACCCAGCCACCGCUGCAUCUUGAGCUUUGACAAUGUUCUCCAAUCCUGAAAUAAGAAGUCCACCCUUAAGAUUAGACAAUUUCUCCAUCUCUUGUAUCUGAAGGCCAUUAUCUCGACUCACAACAAAUCUUGUCAAUGUUUGGAGGCUGGUUAGCUCACCAAUUCCCAUCGGCAUCCUUAUUUGUGAAUUUGCACCAGUAAAAUCAAGAUGCCUUAGGUUAAUUAAAUCUCUCAUUUCUAAAGGAAACUCCUCAAGAGCUUUACACCCCCACAAAAUCAAAGUCUCUAAAUUGUAAAGUUUGCAUAUUGAAUCAGGUAGAGUUUUGAUUGGAGUGUGAGAAAAAUUGAGAUAACGCAGAUGUAUCAAAUCUCCAAAAACAUCAAGUAACUUGGUCAAGUGAUACCCUUCUAAAGAAAGCACCCUUAAGCAUUUCAAUUUUGACAACAAAUCAAAGAGAACUUGAUUAGAUAUAUAGCAAUACUCUUCAUCUGGCAUCUUCAACGGUAAGAAGGUUCUUAAAUGCUCCAUUCCAUUAACGAUUCGAAAUUUUUUAAUUCCAUCCCUCCGACCACCAAUGUAAGAUGAGUGGCGAGCAUUAUUGGAAAUGUCCAAUUCCUUGUCACCCUCCACUCUAAAGCAUAAAUCUUUGGCGAUUGAUUGAGCCAAAUCAUUAAUAAGAUCAUGCAUUACAUAUCGAGACUUAUCCUGAUUGGAUCUUUCAAAAAAUGAUCUCGAUACAAGUUCUUGAAAGAUCUCCUGACCCAAAUCUUCAUUUCUAUUCACAGCUCCCACUCGUAGAAAACCUUCUGCCAUCCAUAACCAGACUAUUUCUGUCUCAGUAAAUUCAUAAUCUUUGGGGAGUAUGGCACAGUAAGCAAAACAUCGCUUUAGAUGUCGAGGAAGAUGAUGAUAGCUUAUUCGUAAAGCUGGAAUUAUGUUACUUCUCUCUUCUGGUAAAUUCCAAAUCUCACUUUCCAGUAUCCAUUUCCAUGCAUCAAGGUCCACCUUAUUGCGCAAAAGGCCUCCAAUGGUCUUAGCUGCCAAAGGCAAGCCGUUGCACUUCUUCACAAUCUUUCGACCAAUUUCUUCUAAAUUCGGAUGCCUACUGAAAUCGUUUGCUCCUAAUGCAUGGUGAGUUAAUACAGAAAGGCAAUCUUCAUCUGACAACUUUUGCAGCUUGUGAUCAGCUGGGAUAGUUCUCGUCAUCGAUGAAACACUUUGUUCACGAGUCGUCACAAUAAUUGUAGUUCCUUUCCCAAAGGGGGCUAUUAGGAGAGUCCAAUCAUUAUAGAUUUGAUGCCAAAGGUCAUCCAAAAUGAGAAGUAGUCUUUUUCCAGACAACCUCUGCUUCAAUUUUAUUUGAAGAUUAUUCAAAUCAGCUCCAGCAUCAGGAGAUUCAUGGCCAAUUGAUGACAAAAUUGAUUUGGUUAUAUCUUUGAUAUCAAAAAUUUCAGAAACGCAUACCCAUGCUUUGAGAUCAAAAUAAUCAUUCACCUGAUUGUCAUUGUAGACAAGCUGAGCAAGAGUUGUCUUGCCAAUCCCUCCCAUGCCAACGAUGGGAAUCACACAAAUUUCAACAACAUUCCUAUUUGAAAUCAAUUCGAAGAUUGCUUCUUUGUCAUUUGCCCGGCCGUAGACUUGAGUUUCAGUCACCAAGGAAGUGGUUGGAGGCCUUUCUAUUGCUCUUUUAGGCCUCCCACCAACAUUUUCAGUCAAAGCCAAGGCACUCCUUCGUUCUGCUAACUCUUGAAAUCUAGUGGUGAUCUCUUUUAUCAUGGACAUCAUUUCGGUAUUAGAUGAGAAAUUAUGACUGAAGCAAGUAUGAAGGAACUUUUGUAACUUACUUGACCUGUAUUGAUGCUCCCUCGUCAAAUUGCGUCUCAAAGCUUUAGUAGCAAACUCAUCCAAUACAUCAUCCGCAUCGUAUGCCAAGUGUUGGAGCUCGGUCAACCAUCUCUUCACAUGCCGAUCCUUCACGUGCUUCUCCUCGGCAUUAUCUAGCACUGCUUGAAUACCGGGCAAUAUGUUUUCCCACUUGAGGAGCUCCUCGCGAACUUGCUUCUCGGUUACAACAUUGAGGAAUUCAGCUAACUUACUGAACAACGCAUCAAAGAACGCAGCUAGAGCAGCUUCUCCGAUAACAGACAUGGCUUCUGACUUUGGAAAAACAGAGAGAAAUAGUGUGUGAAAUGGAGCAGAGGUAACUCUGAACGACAAGAAAAACAGAGAAAAUGGGGAAUCUUUUACAGUGGAGCUACUAAAACGCAGCACUGCUAAAAGUCGUUAAAGGCACAACAAUUGUUAAAGGUAAUAAACGCAGAUAGAGAUGCUAUUGGGAAAAGAGACGGGUAAAGUAAUAAGCUUUCUUUUAACUUUUUAAUUUUUUAUUGAAAUUUCCAAGUAAUUGUUUAGUAAAAAGCUGGAGGAACCUUGUACCAAACUUUGAUAGAGAAAAUAGCUUUGGUUAUUAGUACAUGAUCAUCCAAGAUAUUAGCUAAGUAUAGGACAAAGAAAUUGUUUAAAUUUAAUUACUGGGCGUUUAGAAAUGAGGAAGAUAUUAAUUAGGAGUGUCAGUGUCAUGUCCUAUAACCAAAGUCACUAAUCUGACAAAAAAAUGUAGUUUUUAAGAGUCAAAAUGUGGUGUCAUUUUCAUUGUUCAUCUUCUCCUCCACUCCACAAUGUAAUUUUCAAUUACAAGUAAAAUAUGGUUAAAUUUUAGCUUUCAAAAAUAAUCAUGUUUAUUUAAAAUAAUAAUAAUAAUAAUUUAUACCCAAUAAGGAAAUCCAAAUAAUAAGUUGCGAAUUGAAAAUGUAUUAUUGUUAUAAACAAAUUAAAUUUUAACAAUUAAAUUUUAUUAUUGUAUUUUUAAUUUGAUUAAAAUAUAAUUAAAUUUUAACAAUAAAAGAAUAUUUUAUAACAUAUUUUAAUUUUUUUUAUCAUUUUUAAAUUAAAUUAGAAAGUAUUGUGAUAAAAUUACUCCCCUUGGAAGAUUAGUGAUAAAAUUAUUUGUUUUCAAUGUAGGUGAUCUUGUAUUCAUAGUUGGAUACAUCAAUUUAACUUUUCCCAUCCAUCUCUUGAUUUUUUUUGGUGGCUUACUGAGCCUUAAACCAAAUAUUUGAACUGUACAUAGUACAUGAUUUUGUUUCCUCCUUUGUCAUAAAUUUAACAAGUUUUUAAGAUUUGAGAAUGAAAUAUGAAAUUGAAAAUCUCACUUUUUAAUUAUGGAUAUGAAUUGUUGUAUGACUGGUAAUACUUUUGUAGAUUAACACCUUUAUAUUUUAAAAUAACCUAAUGAAAUGUAAUAACUAGUUUAUUUUCUAUUCUAACUAUUCAAAUAUUUAUUGUACUAACAAAAAUAAAUCUUAUUUUCUUUAUCAGAAAUUGUGUGUGAAAUGUAACUCUGAAAAGUAAAAGUAACAUUGAAAACUAAUUGUUGUAAAAAGCAAUAUUGGUGGAGAACCAGAGGUGGGGUUGGUCCUACAAAGCUAAUUCUUCACUUGCAGCUUUAACGAAAGGAGCUGCUACGGGUAAAUGGAUUGUGAAUAAGCAUUCCUUUUACUUUCUUAAAUAUGCUAUUUAAAUUUCCGAGUAAAUCUUUUUAAAUUAUUACAUUGGUUUCAUGUCUUCAUGUGUGUUAGGGGGAUUUUUCUUUCUCAGUCAAAAUAAUACAGUUUUAUUAAUAUUACUGGUAUCUCAAUAUAAUUGAGGUAAAUAAAUAAUUAGAAAAAAACAUAAACAAGUACAAAAUCAAAGACUCGUUCCAAAUACACAAAAAAAAAAUCAAAUUAGGAUUUCUUAUUCCACACUACCACCAAGUGUAGAAAUAUAUUUGAUCUAUUAACACCCAAUUUAUUUAAAAAAAUCUAAAAAAGUAUUAGUUUCUCCGAAAGUAUGUUAAAUGAGUUCACUUUUGAUUAUGAAAACAACACCAUGUAUUUGGAAAACAAAAGGAAAUUAUGGGAGGAAAGGUAGAAGCAAUCUAUUUUAUCAUUUCUUACUUCUUUAAGUUAUGCUUGUAAGAGAUGCCAAGAAUUUGAAAAGCUAUUUCACACGUUUGAAACCAUUUUUAUUCCCUAUUGAUAAAUGCAUCUUUCUUUUGGGUAAUUGAUAAUUGCAUCUUUCAUGCUAUAAAUUAAAUCUAAUAUUUUGAAGUGCAUGGUUUAUUUGCUGUGAUUGAAAUAUGGGAAGUUUAUUAGGUAUUGAGUGAAAGUUUCCAAGUAGCUUCUUUGUGUCUCUUUAUUUUCUAAGUCCAUGCUAAAGAAUGGUCUUCUCUCUCCCCCUCCAAAAGCAAAAGCCUCUUUUCCUUGGAAAUGACCUUUUCUACCAUUCCAAGAUGAUGGAGUUAGGUAUGAAAACCUACUCAUAAAUACUUUGUAUAAUACCUGAUUAAAAAUGAAAAAGAAAAAGAAAUUUGCCUUCUAUUCUGCCAUCCAUAUUAUACUUCGUAUAAUUAAAAUUUUUUUAAGUAUUAUGCCAUCCAAGAUUUUAAUUAAAUAUAGGAUAAAGAAAUUAUUUAAAUUUGAUUAUUGGAUGCUUAUAAAUUAAGGAAGUUAAUUAAUUAGGAGUGUCGGUGGAAUGCCUGUAACCAAAAUCACGAGUGAAACACUAUAGAAUUUAUGAGUUGAAAAGUAAAGAAUAGUCGACAAAGUAUGGUCUCAUUUUUAUUUGGGAAGAACUCUCAUUCUCACUUAAGCUUUUCUGUUCAUUUCUUUUCUUUUCGUAGUUUCCUUACCUUUGCUGCGUCGGUGGGAUGUCCUUUCAAAAGUCACAAGUCUCACAAGAAAGUAUAGUCUUUUCAUUUGUUUAUCUUGUCCUCCACUUCAUGACGAAAUUUUCAAUGAUCACUUCUUUUUUUUUUUUUGAUAAAAGGUGAAUUUCAUUCAUUAAUAAUCAUCAAGACCAUUUCAAUGAUUAUUUAAAAAUGAUUAAAUUCUAUUUUUUAACAACAAUAAAUUUUAUUUAAAUACCAAUAAUUAGUUAUACAAAAAAAUAGCAAUAAUAAGAGUGGUGGUAUUACGUUAUUGAAAAUGUAUUAUUGUUGUAAAUAAAUUAAAUUUUUUAUCUAAUGUGCAAUUUAAUCAUUUUUUUAACAUUCGUGUUCAAAAUUUUGAGAUGGAGUGUUCAUUUUAUAUAUUAAUUUUGGACUCAAGAUAAAUUUAAUAAAACGGUAAAUUUAAUCCAUUCAAAAAUGAGUGAUAAAUUUAAUCUAUCACCUUAAAUCGAACCGUAAAUUUGAACCUUAUCCUUUUUAAUAAAGCGGUUACUUUUCUUUAAUACACAUCACUUGUAUUCAAAGUUUGAUACAUUAGUUUAGAUUCACCAACAACAAGUUGAUUUAGUUAUUGGAAACGGAUCAAAAAAUUAUUUGUUUCAAUGUAGGUGAUCUUGUAUUCAAAGUUUGAUACAUCACUUUAACUUUUACCAACUAUAGGUCCACAAAAUAAAAAAAUCGUCUCUCUCGAUAUAAGUCAUUUUUAAUUUGAGUCUUGUUAGUAAUUUAUCCUAGUGCUAUCUAAUGAAAAAAAGUAGUUUCCAGCAUCUUAUCUAAAAGUUGAAGCAACUUAUUUGCUUCAAAAUUUUCACAUGGAAAGAUAUUUUGUUUACCUGAAACAUGCCCAUAGAUUCUAGUAAAAUAUAAUACAUUGUAAUACAUUAUGGAAAUGUCUCGUUGUACGACGGGUAAUACAUUUGCAGUAGGGUAAAACUUUCUCUCUUUUAUAUUAUUUGAGUAUUAUAUUUUUUAUUUUCUAUUCUAAUCAUUCAGAUAUAUGUUGUACUAACAAAAAAUAGAUUUUUUUUAUUAGAAAUUGAGUGUGAAAUGGGGCAGAGCUAAUAUGAAAGCGUUGAAGAAGAAGUAAAAAUCAGAGAAAUUCAGGAAUCUUUUACGAUGGAUCCACACGGCUUUUGAAGUUAGAAGGCAGGGUAGAAUUUAUGAAUGAAUUUGAUUCCCACAAAGCACCUUUUCUUGGUGAUUUCUAUAUUGGAAAAGUUGAAACAAGGAAACUGUAUUAAUAUCCAAUUUCCUAUUGAUAAAUGCAUCUUUCAUGCCAUAAAUUAAAGUUGAAGUGCACGUUUGGCCAAAUUAUGAACUAACUACUUCAUUGAUUAGGUACUAAAUGAACGUUUCCAAGAAGCUUCUUUGUCUCUAAAGAAUGGUCUUCUCUCUCUCUCUAAGCAAUUUAAAGUAAAAAAUCUCUUUUCUUUGGACAUGACCUUUUAUAACAUUCUGAAAAAAUAAAAUGACUCAAAAAGAAGAAAUCAGAAAAUCUUAAUGAAAAAUAGAAUCAGGGAAACCUAUUAUGUUUAGUAGGUAUUAAAUGAAAGUUUCCAAGUAGCUUCACUAUCUCUCCUCAUUUUCCAAGUCAAUGCUAAAGAAUGGUUUUUUUUUUCUCUCUCUCUCUCUCACAAAGCAAUUUAAAGCUCUUUUCCUUGGAAAUGACCUUUUGUAACAUUCCUAGCAAAAACCUACUCAUAAAUACUUUGAAUACUACCAGAUUGAAAAAAAAAUCAUAAUAUUUGAAAAUAUUUUUAAAUUAUUUAAAAAUAUUAAAAUAAUAUUAUUUUAUAUUANNNNNNNNNNNNNNNNNNNNNNNNNNNNNNNNNNNNNNNNNNNNNNNNNNNNNNNNNNNNNNNNNNNNNNNNNNNNNNNNNNNNNNNNNNNNNNNNNNNNNNNNNNNNNNNNNNNNNNNNNNNNNNNNNNNNNNNNNNNNNNNNNNNNNNNNNNNNNNNNNNNNNNNNNNNNNNNNNNNNNNNNNNNNNNNNNNNNNNNNNNNNNNNNNNNNNNNNNNNCAUUAAUAUAAUAUAAUAUAAAAUAAUAAGUGAUAUUUUAAUUAAUAAUAAUUUAUCAAUUAUUAAUUGUAAAGAUUUAUUUGAUUUAAAAUAAAAGUAUAAAUUUUUUUAAUAAUUUAAAUUUUUUUAAAAUAUUACAACAUCCAAAAUAUUAAUUAAGUAUUAGACAAAGAAAUUGUUUAAAUUGAAGAAGAUAUUGGUCAAACCCUGUUCUAUAAAAUAAUUAUGACAUCAUUUACAUGCUCAAUAGAAUGUUUGUAUAUUUAGGAAGUUCGAGAAAAUCGUUAAAAGACGAUAUUGCCCCUAAUGGUACCAUUAAGUCGAUUAAGCUUCGAACUAGUUCAAAUAGGAAUUUUAAGGUGAAAUUAAGAGUUUCACAGUUCAGGGAUGACUCAAAAUGGUAAUUCGGAGUUCGAGGAUCAAUUUGGAGUCAAAUCGAAAUUUUCACUAUCUAGGGGUAAAAUGGUCAUUUGCCACCUGGAGACAAAAUGAAAAUUUUUAGAAAAGAUUUUUUUGGCCCCAUUUGACUUAUUGGAGUAUGAUUUGAGGUUUAGAAGUGAAAAAUUUUAAUUCUGAAUGUUUUUGGAGUAUAAGGGCAAAAACGGUAAUUUUAUCGCCCCGGGAGCAAAUCGGUAAAUUUUCACCCCCGACACUUGUCAAGACCAAGGGAUUUUAUUCAUCAUGGAAAUGGAUAAACAUGAGAAAUGUGUGGUGGAUAAUUAAAGAAUUAAAAGUCAAAUAUUUAAAAUUUGAAUCAAUAAGAAAAUGCCAUGUGUCAUGCUUUUAUUAUUUUAUUGUUUCUUUAUAAAAAGGCAUAAAAAUCAGCCCAUUUCUCCCAUAAUGGCCGGCCAAACCAGAAGAGAAGAGAAACCAAGGAAGAACAAACCAUAGGUGGGGAAAAUCAAAGAGAAAGUGUUGGAAUUCAAUGAUUUGAUCAAACAAAGGUAAAAUUUCUUUGAUUUUGCUAGUGAUUUUCCUUACCCAUGCAUUUCUCCUUAGUUUCCAUGGUUGGAUUGUAUGUUUUCAUGGGGAAAUCAUGGCUGGCCGAAUGAGUUUGGUGAGAGAAAUGAUGUUGGAAGUGUUUGAUUUUGAGUUAUGUUGGUGUUUAGAGUUAGUUAAGCAUGUUUAGAAACAAAACAAUAAGAAAAGAAUCCAUUUUCCCCAUGAACCUUCAAUGGCCGAACCCUAUGUGAAGUGUAGAAGUAAUGAAUUGAUUUUGUGAUCAAGUGAAUUGGUUGAAAAAUUGAUGAAAUGAUGAUUUAUGGUGAGAAAAUGGAAUGGAAAAAUUUUUAGUGAUAGUGCACCAUAAUUGCCGAAAUUUUCAAGAAGAAUUGUGAGGGUUGUUAGGUUGAAUUUUAGAUUAUUGGAAUUGUAUUUAGUGAAUUGAAAUAUUAGAAAUGAAUUGGAGCAAUUUGGAGCCAAAUCGGACACAAUUGUCUUUUAAUCAAGUAAUUGAUCGAAUUAAGUCAGCACCGCAUUUAAGCGGUAGUCGGAUAAGUUGCAUAUCAUAUCAUGCAUAUACACCGAGCCUGAAUUGAUUUUAUAAUGGUCAAGCAUUCAUGUGGUGAAUUAUAUACUAUACAUUGUGGAUAGGUGGUGAGCAAAUUACACUGGUCAAAAUACAGAGAUUGUGCUUGAAGACUGGGAUUAGGAGUACAUCGACUCCUAGAUCUGUGAGUAAACUUACUAUUGUCUUAAUUAUUUAGAGUAGUUUUUAAACCCAUUUUAUGGUAAAAUGGGUUUAAAUGGUAAAUUGUUAUGCUUUUUGAAUAAAUGUGAUUUUAUAAAUUUUUAGAAAUUAAAUGAUGAUUUUGGAAAAAUAGAGUAAUUGGAGAUUGUUUAUAAAUUGUGUUUAAAUUGAAUGGCUUAUGACAAUAUAUAAGCAUGAAUGGCUAAAUUGAUUUUUGGUGUUAGAAUUAUUUGUACUGUGUAUUCAGCUUUGAGAGACUAGGUUACGAUAAAUUACCACGUCAUGUAGAAAAAGAUUUUAUAAAUCAUGUGGUAGAUAAAAUAAUCCAUAAUCUCUACAGUGGAGGUUCUGUGGACCAGCCUAAGAGAAGGGGUACAGAAUCAAAGAUACCUUACCUCGAUUGGAGAGCCGUGUGAAGGGUGUCUCUGGAGGUAAAGAUUUGAGUGCACUUCACGUGGACCACCGCGUGAGAGUGAGACUCAACCAACGCCAAGGCAUGGCUAGAUUUUCAAAUGUAAAAAUAUGUUCAUGUGUGUACUACACUGAACAGCCUUGGCGGUCUCGGUUAGAUGCCUAGGCCAAGGCAUCCCCAGGAAUGAUUUUGGUAGGAGCCAAGUUUUGUGAAAUACAUAAGCCAAGUUGAUUAUUUGAGUAAAUUGAUUAUUGAUGUUAUGAAAAACAUACUGGAAUGGAAUAUCUUACUUGUCUCCAUUUACUAGACUUUAGAUGGUUUAGAUGGUAUCUGUUUACUAACUGAGAUUUUAUAAUUUCACCACCCUCAAUUCCCCACAUUUUAGGCUCAGGAUAGUCGGUAGAUAGCCAAUUGCAUCAAGGACUUCAGUUAGCCUUGCAUCGACAAAAUUUUAGGUUCACAGACUUGCACCUUAUUGGUUAGUUGGGGGCCCACGUGUCACUGUAAAAGUAAUUUUAUAUCUCAGUUAUCUGCUUUAAAGUAUGUAUGAAUAUAUUUAGCUUUUACACCACAGAAAUUAUUUACGGAUUUCUCUAUAAAUAGUAUUUUUUUAAGAAAAUAAAAUAUUUUAUUGAAUAUCAUUAUUUUAUUCAAAUAAUUAUAAUUUCAUUUCAAAUAAUUAUUUUAGACAUCUAAAUUUACUUUUAAUUAUGAAACAUGUGUUUUUCACCCAUACACCAUGUUUUUGGCGGGUUUUGGUAUUUUUAAAGAAAAAUAACGAAAAUGCCCUUGUGAGUCAGAAAAUAAUAUUAUAUUGUUUUGAUUUGGAAACGACUUAUGAUUUCUUGAAAUGUGAGAUUUAAUAACUGUCGCUCACCGGGGAGAUGCGGAAGCUGAUGCUAAGCUUUGCGGGGUUUCGAUCGGCAUUUCAGGUAAUAAGUGCCUAUCGGGACGUCGCGACGGCUGUCAUGGGUUUUAUGAGAGUUCCAGAUCAUGACAAUAUUAGUUACACAUGUCGGUGUAAUGUCCUGUAAUCCAAGUCACGAGUGAAACACUAUAGAAUUUAUGAGUUGAAAAGUAAAGAAUAGUUGGCAAAAUGUAGUGUCAGUUUCAUCUAGAUAAGGUUGAGAAGAACUCUCAUUCUCCCUAAACCUUCUCUGUUCAUUUCUUUUAUUUUUGUAGUUUCCUUGUCUCUGUUGUGUUGGUGGGAUGUCCUUUCAAAAGUCACGAGUCUCACAAGAAAAUGUAGUCUUUAAUCAUAAUCAUUUUCUCCUUGCAAAAAGCUACUAUUUGCCAAGUCGAAGUUCUAUAUUUUUAUUAUUGAAAAUUUAGAUAGAGAGAUCAAAUUUAUCGAUUAUUUUUUAAUGAAUGUAACUUUUAUUAUUGUACUUUUUAAUUUGCUUAAAAUAUAAAUCAAUGUUAUCGAUAAAAGAAUAGUCAAGAAGCAAAUAAAAGAGUAUUCUAUAAAAUAUUUUAAUUUUUUGUCAUUUUAAAUCAAAUUGAAAAAUAUAGUAAUAAAAUUACUCCAUUAAAAAAUAUGGAUAAAUUUAAUUCAUCAUUUUAAAUCAAACGGUAAAUUUGAACUUUAUCCUUUUUAAUAAAACGACUACUUCUCUUAAUACAUAUCACUUGUGUUCAAAGUUCGAUACAUCAAUUUAAUUUUACCAACAACAAGUUGACUUAAUUGAAAAAAAAGAAAAAAAAAUAUUUGUUUCAAUGUAGGUGAUCUUGUAUUCAAAGUUUGAUAUAUCAAUUUAACUAUUACCAACUAUAGGUCCACCAAAUUAAAAAAAAAAUGGUUCAUCUCGAAAUAAGUGAUUUUUUAUUUGAGUCUUAUUAAUGGUAUAUCCUAACGCUAUCUAAUGAAAAAAAAAGUAAUUUCCAGCAUCCUAUCUAAAAGUUGAAGCAACAUAUGCCCUCCAAAAUUUUCACAUGGAAAGAUAUUUUGUUGAUCCAAAACAGUUCUAAUAGAUUCUAGUAAAAUAUAGACUAAAUGUUCUAUUUAGGGUCAAAAUUUUUGAGUUUUUAUCAAUUAUAAAGAAUAUGUAGGGAAUGGACCUUUCCAAGUGUAUAAGCAAGAGCAGAACCAGCAACUCCAGCGCCAACUAUGACAAUGUCUGUACUCCCAGCAACCUCGCCAUUCCCUGUUUUCUUCACACAAUUUUCCAUUGGAGACACCAUGGAAGAAGAAGAAGAAGCAGCACCUGCUGCAGCUUUUGUCUUGUUGAAUCCUCUUACGAAAGCGUUGUACAAGAAAACAAACCCCAGCAGAGCGGCUACCAGCCCUUCAACUGUACACUCGUAUCCCAUAUUUUAUGAAAGUAGAAAACUGGGACAACAGUGAAUGAUCAAGAGUAGGUGAUCGCAACUUGAUGACUUCGUCCCCUUCUAUAGUUCUCCUUCCAUAAUUCCUGAAAGUUCUGCUUUCUGUUUGACGUGUGACUUCAGUACUCGUUUACUGCCAAACUUUCCGCCUCUUAAAUACAGUUUGGCAGGUGCCCACAACUUAUAUUUAAGCUCAAUAUAAAUAAAAAUCCUGUGUCCCCGUAUACUGUUUCUUUUCAUAAUUUUCUCUCACUUGUGGUUGAUAUAAACUUAGACACGUAAUACAAAAUUAUGAAAAGCAAUACUAAACGAGACAUUGCAUGAAGACGAAAAAUUUCUAUUCAUAAAAAUAUGCUUAAUUGCCAUGUGGGUCAUUUAUUACCAAUUUAUUACAGUUUAUGGAGCAUAGUUUUGUCCUUUAUCUUAGCUAUGGUUCUGGUAAAGCUACAUUUUGAACUUUAUUUCAGUUUACCUUGUUGAUAAACUAAGUUCUUUAUAAUUAAGAUCAAAAGUUUCAAUUGUAACAAUUAAUAGCCAAAUGUUUUCGGUUCUUUAUAAUUAAGGGCUAAAGUGAGAGGUAUCUAACGCGUGUAGGACACGCGCAUGAUAUGAAUGCUGAUUUGCAGGAUAAAAUACAAUAUGAUAGUUUUGUCAGAAAGUCUUUUCUGUUAAGUCAAAACCAUUCAAAUUAUGACGUGACGUGCAACAAUUAAAUUUUUCAAUAUGACAUGUAACAAUUAAAUCUUCAACAAGACGCGUAAUAACUAUAUUUUUUAACAUGAUUUGUAACAACUAAAUUUUUCAACAUAGCGUGUAACAAUUAAAUUUUUAACAUGAUGUGUAACAAUUAUAAUUUUCAACAUGGCAUAUAAUAACUAAAUUUUUAACAUGACGUGUAAUAACUAAAUCUUUAACAUGACAUAUAACAAUUACAUUUUUAAUGUAAUUUUUUAUUAUGUAUGAUACACGUUCUAUCCACCUGUCAACUUAACUCUUAAUUAUAACAAAUCGAAAACGUUUGACCCUUGAUUAUUAUAAUUGAAUUAUUUAACCCUUAAUUAAAAAAAAUUUAAACAUUUAAUCUCAAUUUAAAUAUUUAACCUAAAAAGUAAGACAUUGUAAUACAUUAUGGAUAUGUGUCAUUGUAUAAGGGGUAAUACAUUUGUAGGUUAACACUUUUAUGUCUUCUAUAUUUUUAGAUAACCUAAUAAAAUGCAAUAACUAUUUUAUUUUCUUUUUUAGCCAUCCAAAUAUUUAUUGUACUAAUAAAAAUAAAUCUUUUUUAUCAGAAAUUGUGUGUGAAAUGGUGCAAAGGUAACUCUGAAAAGUUGAAGCAAAAAACAGAACAAUUGGGGAAUCUUUUACGGUGGACCCACACGGCUUUGAAGCUGGAACGCAGGGUAGAAUUCAUGUAUCAAUUUAAUUCCCACAAAGCCCCUUUUCUUUGUGAUUUCUAUAUCUACUUUCGUCCGAAGCAUGGUUUAUUAGGAGCAAGAGAAACGAUGGACCCCACUAUUUGGCAGCUCCUAGUGUACAAUUAUUCUACUUCACUUUAUCAAGAGUUGAUGAAGGGAUUGUAAGACUAAGCUUUCAUUUUAGUUCCUAAUUAUCUAUCAAUUAUUUUAUCUAAAUUUCCAAGUCAAUGUUUAUCAACCAAUGCUCCACCAACUAAAAGUUAUGGUUUAUCUCUAUUUUUAGAUAUAUACUAUUACCCCAAAAUUUUAAAGUUUCUUAUAAUUAUCUUGAAUUGCAUUUUUAUCAAAAGUUUUUCAAAAACAAAAGGUGUUUCUUUCGAAAAAUAAUUGUUGUUUGUACAUGGUGUGGUUUAUACCAUGAGAAUUGCUAUCAUAUUUUAAUUUCAUCUUAGUAUUCAUAGACUGUAAUGAACUGUGUUUUAAGUGGUAGGCUUUAUGGGUUGCUGUCAUAUGUGUUUCAAAAACUACACAUUUGGUGUGGUUUGUACGAUGAGGAUUGCUGUCAUAUUUUAAUUUCAUGUUACAAUUUAUGGAUUGUAUGGAACUGUGUUUGUAAGUGGUAGGCUUUACAAUGGGUUUCUCCAAACUUUACUGAAAAUUUUUAAAUAUUAUGACAUUCAAGAUAUUAACUAAAUAUAGAAUGAGGAAAUUGUUUAAACUUGAUUAUAAAUUGAGGAAGAUAUUAAUUACUUGUGUCAAUGUAAUGUCCUGUAACCAAAGUCACGAGUCGAACACUAUAGAAUUUAUGAGUUGAAAAGUAAAGAAUAGUAUGAGAAAAUGGGGUGUCAUUUUCUCUCAAACUGCUUCUCUCUUAAGCUUUUCUGUUCAUUUCUUUUCUUUGUGUAGUUUCCUUGCCUUUGUUGUGUCGGUGGGAUGUCCUGUCAAAAGUCACGAGUCUUUUCAUUCUUCAUCUUCUCUACUCCACAAUGUAAUUUUCAAUGACCACUAAAACAUGGUUAAGUUUUAGUUUUUAACAACAAUAAAUUUUAUUUAAAUACCAAUAAUUAGUUGUAUUCAAAAAAGAAAUACCAAUAAUAAGAGUGGUGGUAUUGUGUUAUUGAAAAUGUAUUAUUGUUAUAAACAAAUUAAAAUUUUAUCUCAUGCUUUGUUUAAUUAUUUUUUAAUUUUUGUGUUUAAAAUUUUGAGAUGAAAUGUUCAUUUUGAAUAUUAAUAUUGGACUCGAGAUGGAUUAAUGUGAAAUCUUAAAAUUUAAGAUAAUUUAUCUAAAAAAAUUAAAUUUUUAAUCAUGACAUUUCAUUAACUAUGAAUAUAGAUAACGUUAAGAAAAUUUAAUUGUCUAUUACUCACAAAUAGUAUCAAUAAUAAAUAUAAUAAUUUUAUAAUUAUUUAUUUUUUACACAUAAUUAGAUAAAUGGAAAUUUUAGCUUUUUUCUAGAAAAGAUUUGUAUUUAAUUUCCUUUUUUUUAUAUAAGAUUGGAAACAAUAUUUGUUUUAAUAACAACAUCAGUUCCACAAUCAAAAUUUAAUUAUCCUGUUGUUAAUAUGUUUGUACAUAUCAAGUCAUAUUCUAUUAAUUUUAUGUGAAAGAAAUCAUGCUCUAUUGUUUUAUCAUUAAUUAGAAGAAAAUGAAUUAAUUCCAUUGGUAAAAGUUACUUAUUUUGAUAUGUUAUCAUCAAAAUGUUGAUAGCAAUAAAAAUUUUGCUUUAACCCCAUCAUCAAAAUCAUUUUCUCAUUGCAAAACGCUGCUAUUUGCCAAGUUAGAGAUCCGAAAAUUCUAUAUUUUUAUUAUUGGAAAUUUAGAUAGGUGGAUCAAAUUUAUUAUUUAUUUUUAAAAUGGAUGUUUUAUUACUGUACCUUUUAAUUUGAUUAAAAUAUAAUUAAAUGUUAUUGAUAAAAGAAUAUUGAAGAAGAAAAUAAAAGAGUAUUUUAUAAUAUAUUAUAAUUUUUUUGUCAUUUUAAAUCAAAUUAGAAAGUAUAGUGAUAAAUUUACCUCUAUUCAAAGAUGAAUGAUAAAUUUAAUACACCAUCUUAAAUAGAAUAGUAAGUUUGAAUCUUGUCCCUUUCAACAAAAUGGCUACUUUUCUUUAACACCAUCUUUGGAAGCUCCUACUUUACAAUUAUUCUACUUCACUUUAUCAAAAGUUGAUAAAUGGAUUGUAAGACUAAGCUUUCAUUUUAGUUCCUAAUCUAUCAAUUAUUUUAUCUAAAUUUCCAAGCCAAUCUUUCUCAACCAAUGCUCCACCAACUAAAAGUAAUGGUUUAUAUCCAUUUUUAGAUAUAUACUAUUAUUCCAAAAUUUUAAAGUUUCUUAUAAUUAUCUUGAAUUGCAUUUUUAUCAAAAGUUUUUCAAAAACAAAAGGUGUUUCUUUCGAAAAAUAAUUGUUGUUUGUACAUGGUGUGGUUUAUACCAUGAGAAUUGCUAUCAUAUUUUAAUUUCAUCUUAGUAUUCAUAGACUGUAAUGAACUGUGUUUUAAGUGGUAGGCUUUAUGGGUUGCUCCAAACUUUAUUGAAAAUUUUGUUAAGCCAUGUUAGAACUUAAUCAUUUAUGGUGUUUUAAAAGAGCGACAGUUAGCAUUGUGUGAUGUCGUACACUUUGAGCUUUAUGAAUUGUGAGGAAUGAUUUAAGUAUUUUAAUGGAAAAAGAUGAGAUGGAGAUGAAAUAUCUUUCGUAAUUAAAAUGAGAUCUAUGUUCAAAAUCAAAGCUAUUGAAGGAAACAAAGUUAUUAAUGAGUUUAGGGUGAUGCUCAAAUCCAUGAAUUUUUAUUACUCUUAUAAAAAUGUAAAAUUUUAAAUAAGAUUUUUUUUUGGAUUCUCUUAAGAAAAAUGAGCUUAAAUUUUAAGCUUUGCAGGUUUUGGAAAGAUUUUAAGAGAUUCAUCCAGUUCUAUGGCAGGUAUCUUUUUUGAACCAUUAGCCAUCCAUGACUUGAAUUAUACUUAUUUGAUCAUGGCAAUUAAUAUUGCUCAUCAUGUUUUUAGUUUAUCUUUUUGGAUUGGUGAGAAAUCUUUUAUUGUCGAGAUGGAUUCUAAAGUGGCUUUAUUUUAAGUGCGUAACUUAAAUCCAAGACCGUGAGAUAAAAAGAGAAUAUUUAACGAGAUUGAUAAGUUAACAUUUGUGCAUACUCUCAAAGAAGUUAACAUCUUUGUAGAUUCUUUUGUCAAAUUCUUAAGCCCUAUAUAUAAUGUGAAAGUAACCAAUAAAUAUCCUAUAUUCACUCCUCAUAACAACACCUCACAAAAAAAUUGAGGAGAAAAAAAGUACACAAGGAUCAUAUACGAGAGGAAACAAUUAAAUUGAUAAAAAAAAUUAAAAAGUGAAACUCAAAUCCUAAUUUAUAAGAACAUAAAUUGAUUAGUAGAUCUUACUACUUUCAUAUGAUUUAUUUAUAUAAUAUAAUUUGAUAGUGUAUUUUGUUUGCUAUGCCUCCUAAGUAGCCCAAACUACAAGCAAGAAAUAAGUCCAAAUAAUAAUGAAAGAUCAGAAGCCAACCAAAUUAUCUUCUCACCAAAAAAAAAAAGUCAAUGAAAGCACCUUAUUAAUCAACUAGAUACAUUCUCAUUAUUUCAACCAGGUUACCAGCAGUCACAGGAAGAUGAACUCAGUUUUGAAGUUGGGAUUUGUACAUGUUUGGGUCGAAGGUAGCUGCAGUGAUCGGACAUAACCUGAUAGAGAAUAAGUAUGGUACAAUUGAAAUAAGAUAGUUUUCGUGUACGCAAGGUAUCCAGCUAUCAUCUUCACCUAUUCCCAUGUGCUUGUGGUCAAGAUGCACUUUCUAAACAAUGAAAAAAAUAACAUGACAAGGUCACGUUGACUGAUAAAUAAGGGGAAAGAAUUUAGAUUUGAGUGAAUAUUAAAUAAAAUCUAAAAGUAAUUAGUAAUAAUAUGCAAGCACAGAUGAACAAGAAAUCCAAAAAUCUAAGCCUUAAUACACCUUUGAUUUAUUGGCAAUUUGACAUGUAUCGGGUGUAUGUAUGCUCUUAUGUACUAUACAAAGAAAAAAUAUUAUCUAUCUUGAAAAGGAUCUUAUGAUUACAGUUUUUCAAAUUCUGACCUGUAUAAAAAAGAGCUACUAUUAUCAAAUAUGUAAUUAACCCUUUCCAAAUUAACAAAUAAUCUUUAGAUUUUGGGAAAAACAAAGUGGAAUCCAUGGAGUAGCUUGGACUUUGCCAUCCGUACCUUUGAACUAGGAAUGAACAUGUAAUCAACUUUUACACAAUAUAUGUGGGCUAUGUUGAACCCCUUGCAACUGUUUUAAUAGAGAGGUUGGAUUUGAUCUUGUUUAAUUUGUUACUAAGCAACAUCUAAAGGAAAUUGGAAACGUUUCAAAUUGUUUUAGGAUAGUGGAACUUGAAGGAGGAAAGAAAAAAAAAAACCUAUAAGUAUAUCCUUUUGAUGUGCAACAUAUAAAGAAAAUGGUGGAGCUAUAUUUGGGUGAUUCCAAAUUCGGUUGAAUGCUUUAUUAGAAAGAUUACGAGGAAUAAGUUCAAUCAUAAGUCUUCUUCACUGAAUGGCAGAAUGAGAACACACUGGUUAUGGAUGACGGAUGAAAAACCAAAGAAUAAAGAAGACAAGCAAAACUCACUGUUUAAAUAAAAGAGAAUGCAGAGCAUAUAAAGCUGGAAAUGCACCGUUUCACUAAGGAGAUUUAUUAACCUUUUCUUUAAUUUUCUAUUAAGUUAGUUGAAUGUAAUUAUUAUGCCUUUUCUUAUUUACUUUACUAUUUAAACACUGUAUAUAUAUUUUUGCUCAUUGAGCAUUGAUUGAAUAGAAAAACCCUGAGAAAUUUUCUCAAGGCUAUGUCGUCUUGUUCUUUUCUUCUGCUCAUUUCUUGACAUGAUAUUAGAGUAGCUUGGAAUCCAACUGAUAGUUAGUAUUCUUUUACAGUAGCAAAAGGACUAUUUCAUCAACAGAGGACAGAUUUGUUACCUAUUCAGCAUCAAUAUUUAGUCUUCUUGCUACUACAUCAUCACUCAGGUUCAUCUAAUCCUUUUAGUAAAAUUUACUCUUUAGUAUUUAGUUCUUAAGAGUACUUUAUUAUCAUUUGAGAAAUCAUGGCUGAGAACAUAUAAUCUAGAACUCAAUCUGGUACACAUACUAAUGCACAAAUCAAUACUCAAAUCACCCAAAUAUCACAUCUAGUAGACCCUCAGCCCCUUUAUUACCUACAUCACAUUAAUAGUCCUAAUUCAGUGGUUAUUAGCCCCAAACUUACUAGCAACAAUUACAUAGCAUGGAGUAGGUCUUUCUUGCUAGAAAUAUCUAUUAGGAACAAAAUUGGUUUCCUAAAUGGUUCCAUACCUAAACCUCAGGGUACAAAUCCUCUUUACCUAUCUUGGACCCGUUGUAACAAUUUACUGGUAGCGUGGUUGCUUGAUUCGAUCACACAAUCAAUAGCCUUAACCAUUUUCUUCAUGGACUCAGUAGGUAAACUAUGGAGUACUUUAAGGCAAAAUUUUGCUCAACUUGAUGACAGGAAGGUCUGCAACCUACAAUAUACAUUGGGAAACAUCAGUCAAGGCACAAAAACUGUGGAUGCAUAUUUUAUUUAGCUGAAGGGAGUUUGGGAGGAAAUGAGAAGUUAUAAGCCUCUGCCACACUACCAAUGUGGAAGAUGUGAUCCCAACUGUUUUAAGAAAUACACAGAUCAAUAUCAAAAAGACAUGGUCUUUAAUUUUUUAAACGGACUCAAUGAAUCUUUUUCAGUUGUCAAAUCUCAAAUUGUCAUGAUAGAUCUUAUCCCAACUCUAAAGUAAGCAUAUAGCUUAGUUCUGAGAGAGGAGACACAAAGGAAUCUGUUAAUUCAAGCAUAAAUCUACUAAUUCAAGCAUAACCAGUCCUUGAAUCUUCUGCUAUGAUGGCUGCUGUAGAUAUCAAGAAGAAAAUGAGAAGGGAUAGUUCAUGUAAUCACAAUGCAAAAGAGGGACAUAUAAAAGAUAAGUGCUACAGACUUAUUAGAUUUCCAGAAGACUUUAAAUUCACAAAGGAAAAACCAAGUUUCAAGAAUGGAAAGGUAGUUGUAAACAAUGUAGUAGCAAUAAAUGACUUGACAAGUGACAGCAAAGCUGAACAUGAAGAAGUGAUGGCUGGAAUAGGCUUCAUGUCUCAAUUAUCUAUCAUAGAGCAACAUGUCAACAAGCUGAUGGAGCUCUUGAAUGAGAAUGGUAUAUGCAGCACUAAUGGUAAGGUUUCUUCACAAAAUACUCAGCAAGAAAGCCAUUCACUUGUCAACUCAGCCUUUGCAGGUAUUGUCUUAAGUCAUCUUUGUUUCAAUACAUUCAAAAACUUACCUUCUAGUCUUGGAAAUGCAAAUGUUGAUGUGAUUGGACAAACUCAUUGGAUUUUAGACUUUGGUGCCACUGAUCAUAUGUCCUAUUCCCUUAAGAACUUCAAUUGUGCUAAACUAGUCAAUAUUGCUAUAUGUAAUUGCCUAAUGAUAAAAGGGCAAUAGUUUCUCAUAUAGGAAUCAUCAAGCUAGGUCCCAAACUAAUCCUUGAGAAUGUCCUCUGUGUACCUAAGUUCAAAUAUAAUCUUAUUUCAAUAGGUCAACUUACCAAAAAUAAGAAAACCUCUGUUCUCUUUAUUGAUAUGCACUGUGUUAUUCAAGACAUACUCUUAUAGACAGUGAUUGUGGCUGCUAAGGUCUUCUCAGGACUGUACUUGAUGUAAGAAAAUUCAGAUGAUCAUGAUCUCCCCAAGUUUCUUUUUGACAAACUUAUCAAAUUUCCUUUUACUCUUUCUGUUAAAACUUGUAAAGCAAAGAACAAAUGUUUUGACCUUUGGUACUUUAGACUAGGACAUGUGCCUUUGGAAAGAAUGAAUUUUAUGCAGAAACAAUUUCUAGACAUUGAGUUUUUAGAUGAUUUAAUUUGUGAAAUUUGUCCAUUUGCAAAGCAAAGAAAACUUCCCUUUCUUGUGCAUAUUCAAAACAUAAAAACAACUUUUGAAUUAAUACAUGUAGAUGUUUGGGGUCCAUAUAAGACACCAACAUUAUCUAAUCAAAGAUUCUUUCUCACCAUAGUGGAUGACUUUACAUGAUUUACUUGGAUUUUUCUCAUGAGAAGCAAGUUAGAUGUUCUGUCAAUAAUUCCUUCUUUCAACAACUAUGUUCAAAGGCAAUUUGGUUCUUUAAUCAAAUGUAUUAGGUCAUAUAAUAAACUAGAACUAAGGAUGACAGAUUUCUUUGAUAAAACUAGAAUCAUACAUCAUUUAUCAUGUGUUGAAACUCCUCAAAAAAAUGGAAUUGUUGAGAGAAAGCAUUAACAUAUCUUGAUGGUAGCUAGGACCCUAAUGUUUUAGUUCGAUAUACCUAUGCAUUUUUGGGGAGAUGCAGUUUUAAUAGCAGUGCAUAUCAUUAAUAGAGUACCUACUAAAUUACUACAAAACAAAUCCCCAUUUGAGUUAUUAUAUGGGAAGCUACCUUCUUAUGACCAUUUAAGAUUGUUUGGGAGCUUGUGCUAUGUGUUUACACUGUCACACAACAGAAAGAAAUUGGAUAAAAGAGCCUUCAAAUUCUCAUGUCAUAGGCUGCAAGUGGGUUUAUAAGGUCAAGCUGAAUGCAAAUGGCCCUGUUGAAAGGUACAAAGCCCGGCUAGUUGCUAAGGGCUAUAAUCAAGUAGUUGGGCUUGACUAUCAAGAAACAUUCAGCCCAGUUACCAAGCAUACAACUGUCAGAGUAUUUUUUGCUUUGGCAGCAACUUUGAAUUUGAAUUUAUCUUAACUUGAUGUAGACAAUGCUUUACUAAAUGGUGAUCUAGAAGAAGAAGUGUAUAUAGAACUGCCAUAGUGGUAUGAAAUUCAGAGGGGAGUAUCCGCAAGGAAUACAACUUGUUUGUGAACUCCAUAAGUCACUAUAUGGCCUGAUGCAAGAUUCUAGGCAAUGGAAUGUCAAGAUUACUUCCCUAAUUCUACAAUAUGGGUUUCAUCAGUCCAUUGUAAACUAUUCUCUAUUUACCAAGAAAGAAAAAGAUGAAACAGUGUCGAUAGAUUAUGAAUAUGUCUCAUUGUAUGAAAUGUAAUAAAUUUGUAGGUUAACACUUUUAUCUCUUUUAUAUUUUAGAUAACCUAAUAAAAUGUAAUAACUAUUUUAUUUUCUAUUCUAACUAUUCAAAUAUUUCUUGUACUAACAAAAAUAAAUCUUAUUUUUUCUUAUCAGAAAUUGAAUGUGAAAUGGUGUAGAGAUAACUCUGAAAGACUUGAAGUAAAAGUCAAAAACAGAGAAAUUGGGGAUGGACCCACACGGCUUUGAAGCUAGAAGGCAGGGUAGAAUUUAUGUAAGAAUUUGACUCCCACAAAGGCCCUUUUCUUGGUGAUUUCUAUAUUGGAAAAGUUUAAACAAGGAAUGUGUAUUAUCCAAUUUCGUUCGAAGCUUCCGUUAUUCGAGUAAGAGAAACGUAUAAAAUGGAGCAAUCAUCUCUAGAGUAAACGACUCUUUGUCAGGUAGAGCUCCCUAGUACCCACGGUUGGUCCUACAGACUUGAUAAUUGCAACAAACAGAAACGGAAACCAACUCAUACUUUACAAUUAUUCUACUCCACUUUAUCAAAAGUUGAGAAAGACUAAGCUUUCAUUUUAUUUCCUAAUCAUUCAAUUAUUUUAUCUAAAUUCCCAAGUAAAUCUUUAUCAAUUAUUGCUCCAGCAACAAAAAGUUAUGGCUUAUCUCCAUUUUUGAAAAUAUACUAUCACUCCAAAACUUUAAGCUUUCUUAUACUUAGUUAUCUUCAAUUGUAUUCUUACGAAAAGUUUCUUAGAACUAGAUGUGCUUUUUUUAAAAAUAAUUGUUGUUUAUAUAUUUUAUGUGGUUUGUACGACGAGGAUUGUUGUCAUAUUUUAAUUUCAUAUUACUAUUUAUGUAGUGUGUUUUAAGGUAGGUUGCCCCUAAUUUUAUUGAAAAUUUUAAAUUAAAGUAUUCAAAAAGCCUCUAUAUUCAUGCAUUUUUGUCAAUUUAGCCCAUAUAUUCAAAAUCUGACCAAUUUAGUUUCUUAAUUUUGAGAAUUUGAACAAUUUAAUCCCCCGUUACGCCAUCCAAAUUUGUCGUUAGAGUUGAUGAUAUCAGCAUUAAUGUGACAUUAAUGUGGUAGAUUGGUUGACAUGAUAGUGCCACAUCACUCUAACAUGAUGAUGUGACAAUGCCACAUGACACUAACAUAAUGACAUGGUUGUCACGACCCGGAACCUCCCUCAAGUCCAUGACAAUUGCCGCGAUGUCCCGAUUAACACUCAUUAUCCGGAAUGUCAAUCGGAACCCCGCAAGGCUUACAUAUCAGUUUCUUUCCUUUCCUGUGAGCAAUCGUUGUUAAAUAUCGAGCUUUUAGAGAAUAUACACUAUUUUAGAUCAAAAACAAUCAAAAUAAAAUUUUUGCCACACAGGGGUAUUUUGGUCAUUUUUUUCUCAAAAGUUUCGAAACUGGCUAAAACGUAAUAUACAAGUAUAUAAACACACAAUUCAUAUUCAAAAUGAUUUUAAAAGUCUAAAAUCUUCAUUUAAAAUGAAAUUACGGUUAUUUGAAUAUAAUAUGAAAAUAAAAGAAAUAUUAAGGGAAAUAUUCUAUUUUCUUAUAAAACAAUAUUUAUAGAGUUAUACGUGAAUAUUUUUAUAGCGUAAAAGCUAAAUAAAUUUAUACAUAUUGAAAUACAAUAAGCCAAAUAUUUAAUUUAAUUUACAAUAACAAGAGGCCCCCGAAUAAACAAAAGUAAAGAGAACUGUGAACCUACGGUUUGAAAAUGCAAAUCCAAUGGUAGUUCUCGAUGAGAUCAACUAUUUAUAGUCUAUACUGAACCUGAAAUGGGUGGAAAAAAGGGUGGUGAGAUUAUAAAAAGAUCNNNNNNNNNNNNNNNNNNNNNNNNNNNNNNNNNNNNNNNNNNNNNNNNNNNNNNNNNNNNNNNNNNNNNNNNNNNNNNNNNNNNNNNNNNNNNNNNNNNNNNNNNNNNNNNNNNNNNNNNNNNNNNNNNNNNNNNNNNNNNNNNNNNNNNNNNNNNNNNNNNNNNNNNNNNNNNNNNNNNNNNNNNNNNNNNNNNNNNNNNNNNNNNNNNNNNNNNNNNNNNNNNNNNNNNNNNNNNNNNNNNNNNNNNNNNNNNNNNNNNNNNNNNNNNNNNNNNNNNNNNNNNNNNNNNNNNNNNNNNNNNNNNNNNNNNNNNNNNNNNNNNNNNNNNNNNNNNNNNNNNNNNNNNNNNNNNNNNNNNNNNNNNNNNNNNNNNNNNNNNNNNNNNNNNNNNNNNNNNNNNNNNNNNNNNNNNNNNNNNNNNNNNNNNNNNNNNNNNNNNNNNNNNNNNNNNNNNNNNNNNNNNNNNNNNNNNNNNNNNNNNNNNNNNNNNNNNNNNNNNNNNNNNNNNNNNNNNNNNNNNNNNNNNNNNNNNNNNNNNNNNNNNNNNNNNNNNNNNNNNNNNNNNNNNNNNNNNNNNNNNNNNNNNNNNNNNNNNNNNNNNNNNNNNNNNNNNNNNNNNNNNNNNNNNNNNNNNNNNNNNNNNNNNNNNNNNNNNNNNNNNNNNNNNNNNNNNNNNNNNNNNNNNNNNNNNNNNNNNNNNNNNNNNNNNNNNNNNNNNNNNNNNNNNNNNNNNNNNNNNNNNNNNNNNNNNNNNNNNNNNNNNNNNNNNNNNNNNNNNNNNNNNNNNNNNNNNNNNNNNNNNNNNNNNNNNNNNNNNNNNNNNNNNNNNNNNNNNNNNNNNNNNNNNNNNNNNNNNNNNNNNNNNNNNNNNNNNNNNNNNNNNNNNNNNNNNNNNNNNNNNNNNNNNNNNNNNNNNNNNNNNNNNNNNNNNNNNNNNNNNNNNNNNNNNNNNNNNNNNNNNNNNNNNNNNNNNNNNNNNNNNNNNNNNNNNNNNNNNNNNNNNNNNNNNNNNNNNNNNNNNNNNNNNNNNNNNNNNNNNNNNNNNNNNNNNNNNNNNNNNNNNNNNNNNNNNNNNNNNNNNNNNNNNNNNNNNNNNNNNNNNNNNNNNNNNNNNNNNNNNNNNNNNNNNNNNNNNNNNNNNNNNNNNNNNNNNNNNNNNNNNNNNNNNNNNNNNNNNNNNNNNNNNNNNNNNNNNNNNNNNNNNNNNNNNNNNNNNNNNNNNNNNNNNNNNNNNNNNNNNNNNNNNNNNNNNNNNNNNNNNNNNNNNNNNNNNNNNNNNNNNNNNNNNNNNNNNNNNNNNNNNNNNNNNNNNNNNNNNNNNNNNNNNNNNNNNNNNNNNNNNNNNNNNNNNNNNNNNNNNNNNNNNNNNNNNNNNNNNNNNNNNNNNNNNNNNNCGAAUUCUCCUUUGAAUUUUCUUGUUUCUCUUGGUUUUUCUUUUUUUCUUCCUUUCCUCUCUAUUUUCUCUCUUCUUCUCCCUUAUGGCCGGCCAGCACUUAAAAUUUGGGUUUAAAUGGGCUGACUUUUCAUUAAAAUAAUAUUAUAUCAUUUAAAAAUGCCACAUGUCACUUUCCCAUUGGCCCAUUUUAAAAAUUUCAUCCAUUUGUUUCCAAAUUUUCACCAUACACUUGUCCCAUAUAUUCAUAGCUUAGAUAAAAUUCUCAGACUCAUCCAAAGUCUCGGUGGAGUAAUUUUUGAAAUUUACACUUUUGCCCCCGUAAAAGUCAAAAAUUACACUUUUGCCCCAAAAAUUGAAAAAUUGCCCAUAGACAUAUUUUUCAUCCCUUAUACUCAUACCAUUCUCCAAUUUGUCAAAUUUGAUCUAAAUUCUCUCAAAAUUUCAAAUUUUGUCCGCGGAUGGCAAAAUUACGAUUUUGCCCCUACACUCUAGAAAUCACCAGAAUUAAACUUUUUCACUUUCUAUCAUUAAAUUAUACUCCAAAUAGUUAAUCUUGGUCAAAACUUUCACUCCAUGAUCAAAUUAUUAUCUUAGGCGGUAAAAUGUCGAUUUUGCCCCUGAGCAUCAAAAUUUUCCAUUUUACCCCAAAUGCACCCUCGAACUCCGAACAAUCAUUGUUAGUCAUUCCUAGACUAUAAAAUAUUAAAUUUUACCCUACGAUUCCUAUUUGAACUAGUUCGAAGUUAAAUCAACUCAAGUGUACCUUUAGGUAUAAUAUCGAGUUUCGUCUAUUCAUAGGUGCUUUUCUAGCGUAAUAACAUGCUACUCAGUGCAUUUACGUCAUGACAUGUGUUUAUAGGGUCGGGUUUUACAAUGGUAGUGCCACAUGACAGUGACAUGAUGUAAUAUAAAAGUAUGUUAUUAGAUUAUUAUUAUAUAAGAAUUAUAGGUAUGAUAGAAUUCUCUUUUUUUAUUUAAUUUACUUGUACUAGGAUUUUAGGCUAGUCAUGUUCUAUUUAAGAGUAGAAUAUUUAUUUUAUUUAAAUCUCUUGUUAAUUACUCUAGUUGUAUUAGACAACUUGAAGUAGAGUUUUAUUAGUACAUGAGCCUAUACUACUAUAAAUAAGACUUUUAGGCUUAGUUAUUAUUCAUAUUCAAGUUGAGAAUAAAUAAAAAAUAUUUUUUUAAGUAAAAGUGUUUAUUUCUCUAUACACUUUUCUAAAGAGCAAGAGGUUCUAGUAUUUUUGGCUUAGUCAAUUAAAGUAGAAUUUUGGUUAUUUUUUACCUUAGUAGGGUUUUUAACCUUGCCAAGAUUAGUGAUUCACCUUAGUGGGAUUUCUAACCUUACCACGAUUGGUGUUUUCCACAACGCCCCAAUGUCAAUUUGUUAUCAGAGCGAGAGGAUCAUUGUUUGCUGCAUAAUUUGGGUUCUUGUCGUUGUUUGUUUCGAUUCUCCUUGUUGAGCUAACAAAAUGAUACCAAGAUGUCAAAAUCGUCAAAUAAAUAAUCAUGAGAUCGAGAUUCAAGAACUACGUCAGCAAAUUUAAGAAUUACAGGAGUAACUCGCAAGACGUGAUGCUACUUAAAUCAAUAAUAAUAGCUCUAGUGAUAAAGAGGAUAGUACAAACCCAGUUUAUCAAAAUUCAUCCUCUAAUGAAGAAGUACCUAUUCAUCGCUUGAGAACUGCUAUUACUUGAGAUUUGAGAAUCAAAGUCGACAUUCUUGAGUUUGAAGGAAGACUUCACCUUAAUGACUUUCUUGAUUAGUUCUACACGGUGGAAAGAGUUUUCGCGCUUAAAUAUAUUCUUAAUGAAAAACGUGUGAAGCUUGCUAAAAUUAAAUUGAAGAAGCAUGGCUUUAUUUAGUGGAAAAAUCUCAAAUGACAACAAGAAAGAGAAGGUCGCAAUAAAAUCAAAACAUGAGAUAAGAUACGUCGAAAACUCAAACGUAAGUUUCUUUUUGAGCAUUAUCGACAAUAAAUUUUUAUCAAAUUUCAUAACUUGAGGCCAAAAACAAUGUUGACGGAAGAAUAUACAAUGGAGUUCGAACAACUUCACAUAAAGUGCGACAUCUAUGGACCUAAAGAGCAAAUUCUAACUUGUUAUCUUGGAGGUCUCAAUAUUGAAAUUGCAGAUGUUGUUCAAUUACUAUUAUAUUGGAACUUAAAUGAUGUCAUUGGAUUAUCAUUAAUGGUUGAGAAACAAUAAUCACGAGAAAGCUCAAUGAGUUCAUCUAGACAAAAAGAUUCUACCUUAAACCGUGGGAGACAAAGUUCGAUAACCAUUCUACCUCUAAAGGUAAACUCUUCCAAAACUUCAAAUAAUAAUAAUAAAGAGACUACUUCUACUCAUGCUUCUAAUGUCAAUAAAAAGUGCUUCAAAUACCAAGGAUUUACGCAUAUUGCUUCUAAUUGUCCAAAUCGAAGAAUUAUUUCCUUAGUAAAAGAAAAAGUUAUACAAUAACCUAUCAUGGAAGAAAUUGAAGAUAAGUUAGAAAUAUUCAAUGAAGAUAAGACAGAAGAAGUUACUACUGACCAUGAAGAAGCUCUUAUUGUUUGUCUUAGUCUCAACACGAAUAUGAUGACUGAAGAUGAAACUUCGUCACAACAUAUUCUACACAAGGUGCACAUCUUAAGGGAAUGUUUGCAAUGUCAUUAUUGAUAGUGGAAGCUGUGAGAAUAUUGUUGCCAACUACAUGGUGGAAAGGUUGAAACUUCCAAUUGAAGUACAUCUUCAUCCUUACAAGCUACAAUGGCUGAGAAAAUGAAAUGAAGUUAAGGUAACAAAGCGUUGUUGAGUUUAAUUUUCUAUUGUAAAUAAGAAUUAAGAUGAAGUCUGGUGUGAUGUUAUCCUAAUAGACGCAUGCCACCUAUUGUUGGGAUGCCCAUGGCAAUAUGAUUGUCGAGCUCACCAUGACGGAUACAAAAAUACUUAUUCCUUCAUCAAGAAUGAAGCGAAAAUUAUGUUGACUCUACUAAUAGUAGAAGAUCGCCUAAAGAGACAAGUGGAAGAUAAAGCACUCACCACUGUGCUUGGCCUAAACAAAGUUUAUUAUGAGUCAAACCAUUUAUGUCUCUUAUUAGUUUCUAAGGAGAAUGAAGUAUCUUCUCUUUUAUCCAAGGAUGGUUAAACAGAAGUGGUCAACAAAUGUUUGGAAAACUUAUUACGAAGCUUUGUGAGUAAACACAUUCGCCAAUGGGAUCUUAUGUUAGCACAAACAAAAUUUUCUUACAAUAAUUCUUUGAACCAAACCACCGGAAGAUGUCCAUUCAAAGUAGUGUAUAGAAAACGCCCACUUAGUCCUUUUAACCUUCUUGCGUUACCAACUACUCGUGAAUCUAGUACUAAUCGUAAAAAACGUGUUAAGCAAACCAAUAAGCUUCAUGAAGAAGUUCUAGAGAAGAUUAUUUAUUAGACUGAUAGAUACCAAAAGCAAACCAAUAAGCACAAAAAGCUAGCUAGUUUUAAAAAAAGAAACUUUGUGUAGAUUCACUUAAGGAAAGAACGUUUUUCUAAGUCCCGUGCAAAAUUAUCUUCUUGAGCUAAUGGACCAUUCCGAGUCUUGGAAUGUAUUAAUGAGAAUGCUUACAAGAUUGAACUUUUUGGGGAUUAUGAAGUUUAUUAUACUUUCAACGUAGUUGAUCUCUCUCCUUAGUAUGAAGAACAUGAAGAAGACAUGGAUCUUAAAGACAAUUUUUCUCCAACCUAGAAAGAAUGAUACCAGAGUCUAUUAUUAGAUUAUUAUUAUUUAAGAAUUAUAGGUAUGAUUUUAUUUAAUUUACUUAUACUAGGACUUUAGGCUAGUCAUGUUUUAUUUAGGAAUAGGACAUCUAUUUUAUUUAAAUCUUUUGUUAACUACUCUAGUUGUAUUAGACAACCUGAAGUAAAGUUUCAUUAGGAUGUGAGCCUAUAAUACUAUAAAUAAGACCCUUAGAGUUAGUUAUUAUUCACAUUCAAGUUGAGAAUAAAUAAAAAAUAUUUUCUUAACCAAUAGUGCUUAUUUCUCUACACUCUCUUCAAAAAAACAACAUGUGCUAGUAUCUUUGGCUUAGACAACUAAAGUAAGAAUUUGGCUAUUUUUCACCUUAGUGGGGUUUCUAACCUUACUAAGAUUGGUGAUUCACCUUAAUGGCGUUUAUAACAUCGCUACAAUUUGUGUCUUUCACAAUGUCCAGGUGUCUUUCACAAUGUCCCAGUAUCAUAACGUGGCAUUAACAUUCUAAUGUGGCAGAUCAAGAAAAAAAAAUUUAAAAAAAAUUUUAGGUCAUGUCAUAGAGACUAAAUUGAACAAAAUUGAGAUGUUUAGAGACUAAAUUAAAAAAAUAUUUAAAAAAUAUAAAUCUUUGAGUAGAUGAUACAUAUAUUUAUUAAUAAGCCAUAUUAAAGUGUAAAAAGAAAUAAAUAUAAAUAUUAUCUUAUUUGGUUAUUUGAUUCCAUAAUAAGUAUAUUAAUCUAUCUUCUUUGAAAAAAUUAAGUUUAAAAUCUAAAAAAGCCUUUAAACUAUUCAUGAAAAUUAAAAUAAGUUCUUAUACUUUUAUUGCAUUCAAUCAAGCUUUUAUAUUUUUAUUUUGAGCCAAAUAAGUCUUUAUACUUUUUUUUGUGUAAAAUAAACUCUUGUAUUUUUAUUUUAUGUCAAAUAAGCCCUUAUAACUAAUUAUUAACUUAGUCAAAGUGCACAUUAUCAUUCUAUAACACGUAGUGCUAACGUGACAUACUAAUAUAUCAUAAUUGAUAAUGAUGUGACAUGUUGAUAUAUCAUAAUUGAUGAUAACUUGACAUGUUAAUUCGUCAUGAAAACAUGACCACGUGGUAUUUUUCAACUUCCACAUCAACAUUAUGUCAGUAUCAUGUAGAUAUAAAAUAACAACUGGUAUUUUGAUUGAUGACAAUUACUUAAUUAUUAGUCAUAAGGGUUUAUUUAAAUUUACUUGAAUAGUUUAGGGGCUUAUUCAGCAUUACGUCAAAAAAAUUUUAAUAUUUUAUAGAGUUAUUUUUUAUAUUAUUAAAGAUUGCAUUACACUAAACUCAUGAAGCUUAAAAUGUGGGAGUAAUUGGUGUUUCGAUAGAAUAUUGAGAAAACACCAAAAGUGAACGUGCAACGGCUAUUGGUGUUUUCUCAAUCUUCCAUCAAAACACGAAAGAAGUUAAAGUCAAUGUUAAAAGCUAAAGCCAAUGCUAGGGAAACAUUUUAAUUGUAGGUCACACCCUUGCAUGAUAGUCACAUAUGCCAGUUUUUUAUGACGAGCACCGUCCAUCAUCAAGCAUCUAUUAUUAACAAUGACAUAUUUUAGUCAAAAAAGAAUUAUAAAUUUAAUUGCUGGAGUUUACACAUUAUGCAUCACAAGGUUAUUAGAUUAUUUUGAACCAUUGAGAGCUUUUGGAAUGCAAACUAAGCUCAUCCUUAUGACCAUUGAUCAAAACAUAUAUAAAAAUGUUAGAAUGAUAAUAUUAAUUUGGAAAAAAUAUAAUAAAUAUUUCUUUUUGUUUUGUAGGGUUUGGUUAUUGAAAAAAAUAUAUAUUUAUAAGAUUAAUUUGUGCGUUUAAUAAAUUUUGUGGUUUUUUUGGAUUCCAAUCUCAAUCAAAUUUUUGUGAUUUUUUUUAAACUGUCAAAUUGAAAUCAUAGAAUCAAGCUCUUGGCUUUUGGCACUAAAGAGAUGAUUUCUUGGCAAAUUAUUUUGUCAUUAAAGCAUUUAAUGGGCUUACUUUGGUUUUCAUACAUAUAUUAAAAAAAGGCAAUUAAAUUAAAAUCAUAUAUAACUAAAUUUUUUGUCACCAGUUUGGUUUUUAAAUUUAAUUUUUUCUACAUGUCAAUUUAAUUAAUAGUAUAUAACUACCAUAAUAUUAAAGUGUCAAAUACAAAUUUUGAUAUACCAAAAUUAAUAUAAUUUUCAAAUAAUUUAUAAAAUAAAAUAAUAAUCUCAGUCAAAUUUAAUAUAAAUUUUUAAAUUUAACUAGUUAAACAUAUAAAAAAAAUAUGUACACAUAUAAAGAUAUAAAUAAUAAUAUAAGCGGGGCAGGACAUGGUGGUGUGGGGCAACCACAUACCAUAACCGCUUUGCCCUGUCCUGCCGAGCCUAUCAAACAAAAAUAUUGGCCCAACCGCAAACCGCCCUACUUUUCAAAAAAAAAAAGAAACACCUCCUUGGAGGCAGAUCGAGGUGGAAUCCAUGGAGCAACUUGGACUUUUUCCAUCCCUACCUUUGAACCAUAAAUGAACAUGUAAUCAACUUUGACAGUGUAUGAGGGCUUUGUUGAACCCCUUACAACUGUUUUAAUAGAGAAAGGUUGGAUUUGGUCUUGUUUAAUUUCUUACUUAGGAACAUCUAAAGGAAAUUGGAAACGUUUUAAAUUGUUUUAGGAUGGUGGCACUAGAAGGAGGAAAGAAAAACAGAACCUAAAAGUAUAUCCCUUCAAUCUGCAACAUAUAAAGAAAAUGGUGGGGUUUUACUUGGGCGAUUCCAAAUUCAGGUGAAUCCUUCAUUAGAUCUUUGGAAGAUUGUUUAUAUGGGAGUGCAUUGAAAAAAAAUGAAUAGUGGUAUGCCGUGUUACCUUGUGGUUCUCAUGGCUUGCAAGGAAUGAUUCUAUUUUUAUCGAGAAGAUUUGGGACAAGCAGGAAAUUCUUUUCUUAGCAAAGAUGAGAUUGGGUGAGGGCAAGUGAAGGAAAUGAGGCUAUGGGUUGUGGAAUGAACCGAAAAGAUUUAAGUGCUGGUCUUUUACUGUUUGAAUUCCUCCUUAUGAAAGAGAAUUAAAGUUCAAUAUAACUGAACCGUCUUGACGAAAAUCAAGACUUGCUGAUUGUGGAGGAGUCCUUGGAGAUGAUAAGGGUUCGAUUAUGGGCUGUUUUUGGUCCUCUGGAAAUUCAAGAGUCCAAUUAUGCACAGUUGAUGGUCAUCAAGCAAUCACUAAAGCCUUUUGCAUCUUCACCGUAGGUGAGUUUCAAGAGAUUGAUUAUAGAAUCUAAUUCUAAGGUAGAACUUGCAUGGAUUUGUAACAAGCAGACAUGGAACCAUCGACAUAUUUUUAAAGAAAUUGAUAGUUUGAAGAGAAAGAUGGAAGAUAUUGUGUUUGUGGAUACACUCCAUGAAGCUAAUACAUUCGGAGUUGAAAGAGCCAAUAUGUUUUCACUUGGUGGUAGGCCAUGUUGCUUCUGUUCUGAGUUGGAACUGCUUUUCUUCCAUCAUUCACAGUUUGGACAACAUUGGCUAGGAAUUAAUAUGAUGUAGCUGUUUCAUUUGUGGAUUCUGUUAUUAUAACGUUUAUGCUUCUGCAUAGUGUUACGAGGCCUGUUCGUUGUUGCUGAUUUUUCAUUGUAAUGCUAUAUUCUGUUAAGGGGUGAUCGGGUGAUAGGUUGGUAGUUCUGUUUCCAUUUAAGGUAAUAGGGUGCUUUGCUCUCUGAACUGUUACUGUUUAAGAGUGCUUCUUGCUGCCUUUGUACUGAUCUCUUAAUUUUGAUUAGCUUUUGUAUACCUUUAAUACUUAAUAAAACCACCUAUGAAUGAGCAAUAUAUAUAUACAAAGACAAGCCCUAUGCAAACAUUAUCCAAGGAAUGUAUUGCCUAUUGGAGGGCAAUACAAAACUUUCCCAUCAGUACGUAGUUGGAUGUUAAAGCAGAGCCUUUUACUCGGAGCAAUGUGUAAUGAAAGUUGUAUUAUGCAUCAAUAAAAGAACUGAGCUGGAAAGAAUGAAGACUUCUGACAUAAUUGCAGAAUAGAACUGAAUACAAAAAUGUUUAAGCAUUGUGAUUCAUACUUCAUCACCAAGAAAAACAGAAUUCUGGCCAUUUAUCCUGGUAUGCAACUUGGAAAGUGCUUUAGAUUAGAUCAAGCGUUUGAGAUGGUAGAAACCUCCUUUACUUCAUUCAGAACAUAAUAUGAGAGAUAGAAGAAAGGAUUCUACAAAUUUUAGCAGAAAAAGAAGAGUACGAAAUCCAUCAUACUACAAAUGGGAAAUACCCAUUGGCAGCUUCUUAACUUGAAUUGGUACAGAAACACUCGACACUGGUACGAUGACAAAAUAAAUUUGGUUUAUACAGAAGGUCCUAGGUUACCCGAUUUUACAUGCUAUCUUGCAUCAUUGAUGCGAAGGAGGAAAGAUUUCCCUUUUUGGGAAGGAACUGCUCCCUGAACAACUUGGAAACCACCAUUGAAUUUUGAGGGCUUCGGAAUAUAAAGUUUACUUCACCCUGUCAGACAAGUUCCACAACAUCAGGUUUUCAUUUUGCAACAAGAUUUCCUGGCAAUAACUAAAACUUUUAGCUUUCUCUGUGUAGGAACAUUACUGUUUUCAAGCUAUGUUUCCCUUUGGGAAAUUGUUGUUCCCUUCACACUGUCACGUGCUAUUGUUGCCAAUACAUACUUUAAUUUCUCAUCAUGUAUCAGAAAUUGAGUACUCAUUGGGAUUGAGGCUCAGAUUGGUGCUUGCUCAUUCAGCCUGGCACAUGGUCAAUGUGCCAGGUUAUAACAAGCAUUGAGAGUGGCAGCAACAAACGCAAUGCCCACUUGGAUAAGUAAU
rnacentral:lncRNA from 1 species